GUCCGACAGAACCAGGGUCUCCACGAAGCCCUCUCUUCCCUUCCUCACCCUGAGGUCCAAUCACACCCUGAGAACCUGGUGGACCCUGGGAACAGAUGAGGGACCUGAGCAGCUUUGACCAGAGUACACAGGUAUCAUACACAGGAGCUACAGCAGUUUGUCAAACAUGAAGGACAGUGAGUGACACACUUACAUCUUCACCUGGUUUUCCUGGAGGACCCUCAGCCCCCCGUUGGCCAGACGGACCCUAAAUGACACACACACAAUAUCCUUUAAAAACGCGAUCUAAGUCGACUCAGUUGUUAUGAAGUUUGAUUUUUUUUUUUAUUUAU